rnacentral:rRNA from 1 species
UGGUCAUAUGCUUGUCUCAAAGAUUAAGCCAUGCAUGUCUAAGCAUAAACUGAACUAAAGUGAGGCCGCGAAUAGCUCAUUACAACAGCCGUUGUUUCUUGGAUCUCCGCUUCUACUUGGAUAACUGUGGUAAUUCUAGAGCUAAUACACGCAAUCGAGCUCCGAUCUUUCGUGACGAGCGCAUUUAUUAGUUCAAAACCAAUCAGCGCUUGCGCUGUGGUUUGGUGAAUCUGAAUAACUGAGCAGAUCGCUUCGGUCUUUGCACCGGCGACGUAUCCUUCAAGUGUCUGCCUUAUCAACUUUCGAUGGUAGUUUAUGUGCCCACCAUGGUUGUAACGGGUAACGGAGAAUUAGGGUUCGACUCCGGAGAGGGAGCCUGAGAAACGGCUACCACUUCUAAGGAAGGCAGCAGGCGCGCAAAUUACCCACUCUCGGCACGAGGAGGUAGUGACGAAAAAUAACGAGAUGGCUGUCUUAUGAUUGCUAUCAUCGGAAUGAGAACGAUCUAAAACCUUUAACGAGGACCUAGU